rnacentral:rRNA from 1 species
UACGAAGGGGGCUAGCGUUGCUCGGAAUUACUGGGCGUAAAGCGCACGUAGGCGGUCUUUUAAGUCGGGGGUGAAAUCCUGGAGCUCAACUCCAGAACUGCCUUCGAUACUGGAAGACUUGAGUCCGGGAGAGGUGAGUGGAACCGCGAGUGUAGAGGUGAAAUUCGUAGAUAUUCGCAAGAACACCAGUGGCGAAGGCGGCUCACUGGCCCGGUACUGACGCUGAGGUGCGAAAGCGUGGGGAGCAAACAGGG